AACGAACGCUGGCGGCAUGCCUAACACAUGCAAGUCGAACGAGACCUUCGGGUCUAGUGGCGCACGGGUGCGUAACGCGUGGGAAUCUGCCCUUCGGUUGGGAAUAACUGAGAGAAAUUUCAGCUAAUACCUUAUAAUGUCUUCGGACCAAAGAUUUAUCGCCGAGGGAUGAGCCCGCGUAGGAUUAGGUAGUUGGUGGGGUAAUGGCCUACCAAGCCGACGAUCCUUAGCUGGUCUGAGAGGAUGAUCAGCCACACUGGGACUGAGACACGGCCCAGACUCCUACGGGAGGCAGGAGUGGGGAAUAUUGGACAAUGGGCGAAAGCCUGAUCCAGCAAUGCCGCGUGAGUGAUGAAGGCCUUAGGGUUGUAAAGCUCUUUUACCCGGGAUGAUAAUGACAGUACCGGGAGAAUAAGCUCCGGCUAACUCCGUG
rnacentral:rRNA from 1 species